GAUGAAGAACGUAGCGAAAUGCGAUAAGUAAUGUGAAUUGCAGAAUUCAGUGAAUCAUCGAAUCUUUGAACGCACCUUGCGCCCUUUGGCCAUUCCGAAGGGCAUGCCUGUUUGAGUAUCAUGAACACCUCAACUCUUUAUGGUUUUCCAUGAUGAGCUUGGACUCUGGGGGUUUUGCUGGCUCACAGUCGGCUCCUCUAAAAUGAAUCAGCUUACCAGUGUUUGGUGGGUAUCAUGGGUGUGAUAACUAUCUACGCUUGUGGUUUUUCCACCAGGUAACCUUCAGCAGUGGAGGUUCGCUGGAGCUCAUAGAUGUCUCUCCUCAGUGAGGACAGCCCUUUUAAUGUUUGAUCUCAAAUCAGGUAGGACUACCCGCUGAACUUAAGCAUAUCAAUAAGCGGAGGA
rnacentral:misc_RNA from 1 species